AUGCUACUGCUCCUUCUCCAGUCCUCAUUCAUCACAACUCUAGAGAAAAUCCAGAUAUUCCAUUACACUACUCGCUCUCUGAACCACCACACGCACCUUUUCUCUCAUCUCACCAUUUUUCCAGUUUCCCACUCUCACUCUCACCCUCACUAUACACUCGUAUCUCAGAGGCCAUUGAAGCUUCUCAUCGAGGCUUCAAUCGGUUGA